UAAGACAAGGGUGGUAGCAUU
rnacentral:siRNA from 1 species